rnacentral:rRNA from 1 species
GCCGUAUUUAGCCCAAACUCAAUAAAACACAACUACCAAUACCGACUAAAACAAAACAUUUACCUGUCCUUAAUAGUAUAGGAGAUAGAAACUUUACGCAGGCGCAAUAGAAAAAGUACCGCAAGGGAACAAUGAAAGAAGACACUAAAGCAAUAAACAGCAAAGCUUACCCCUUCUACCUUUUGCAUAAUGGUUUAACUAGAAUAACUUAGCAAAGAGAACUUAAGUUAACCCCCCCGAAACCAGACGAGCUAUUCACGAGCAGCAUCAAUCAGUGCAAACUCAUCUAUGUGGCAAAAUAGUGAGAGGACUCGCGAAUAGAGGUGACAAGCCUAUCGAGCCUGGUGAUAGCUGGUUGUCCAGAAAAGAAUGUCAGUUCGACCUUAAGUUUACCAAAAAGACCUACAACUCAGCUGUAAGCUUAAGAUAUAGUCUAACAGGGGACAGCCUUUUAGAUACGGGUUACAACCCUUACUAGAGAGUAAGUACAUGAGCAAGCCAUAGUUGGCUUAAGAGCAGCCAUCAAUAAAGAAAGCGUUCAAGCUCAACAACUCCAAUAAAUAAAAAUACCAAAAAUACACACGAACUCCUAGAGCAAAACUGGACUACUCUAUAAUUAUAUAGAAGAAAUACUGUUAAUAUGAGUAACAAGAAAUUAUUUCUCCCUGCACAAGUGUAUAUCAGAACGGAUCCCCACUGAUAAUUAACAAUUCUCGAAACAACCAAAAACAAGGCUUCUACCAACCCAAAUGUUAAUCCAACACAGGUGUGCCCCAGGGAAAGAUCAAAAGGAGUAAAAGGAACUCGGCAAACACAAACCCCGCCUGUUUACCAAAAACAUCACCUCCAGCAUUACCAGUAUUGGAGGCACUGCCUGCCCAGUGACACUAGUUCAACGGCCGCGGUACCCUGACCGUGCAAAGGUAGCAUAAUCACUUGUUCCCUAAAUAGGGACUUGUAUGAAUGGCCACACGAGGGUUUUACUGUCUCUCACUCCUGAUCAGUGAAAUUGACCUUCCCGUGAAGAGGCGAGAAUGAAUUAACAAGACGAGAAGACCCUAUGGAGCUUCAAUUAACUAGCCUAAGAAAACACCACCUCUAAUUCCAAACGGAAUACAAACAUCCUUCCUCUAGGUUAGCAAUUUAGGUUGGGGUGACCUCGGAGUACAAAAGACCCUCCGAGUAUUUAAAAUUAGACUUACCUGUCAAAACCACAUCACUCACUGAUCCAAAAAUUCUUUUGAUCAACGGAACAAGUUACCCUAGGGAUAACAGCGCAAUCCUAUUUAAGAGUCCAUAUCGACAAUAGGGUUUACGACCUCGAUGUUGGAUCAGGACAUCCUAAUGGUGCAGCAGCUAUUAACGGUUCGUUUGUUCAACGAUUAAAGUCCUACGUGAUCUGAGUUCAGACCGGAGUAAUCCAGGUCGGUUUCUAUCUAUUUAAUGCCUUCCCCCAGUACGAAAGGAUCAGGGAAGCGGGGCCUCCUUUAACAGAAGCGCCCUCAAGGCCAACAGAUGAUAUAAUCUAAAUCUGGCGCCCUAUAACCACAUCUACCCAAAAUCAGGGUC